rnacentral:rRNA from 1 species
GACGAACGCUGGCGGCGUGCCUAAUACAUGCAAGUCGAGCGAAGCGGCGGAUGGGUGAGUAACGCGUGGGUAACCUGCCCUUACGCCUGGGAUCCAAUUUGGAAACAGAUGCUAACACCGGAUCCUAAAGGAUGGACCUGCGAUGCAUUAGCUAGUUGGUAAGGUAACGGCUUACCAAGGCGAUGAUGCAUAUCUGGGUUGAGAGGCUGAGCGGCAACAUUGGGCCUGAGACACGGCCCAGACUCCUACGGUAGGCAGCAGUAGGGAAUCUUCCACAAUGGACGCAAGUCUGAUGGAGCGACGACGCGUGAGUGAAGAAGGUUUUCGGAUCGUAAAGUUCUGUUGUUGGUGAAGCGGUAAUCAACCAGAAAGUCACGGCUAACUACGUGCCAGCAGCCGCGGUAAUAC